GAGACUCUGUGCGCGUGCAUAUCAAUAAGCGGAGGAAAAGAAACUAACUAGGAUUCCCCUAGUAACGGCGAGUGAAGCGGGAAGAGCUCAAAUUUGAAAUCUUCAAGGUUCUGACCUUGACGAAUUGUAGUUUAAAGAAGUGUUUUCUGUUAGGAGUAGGUAAAAGUUCUUUGGAAUAGGACAUCAUAGAGGGUGAGAAUCCCGUAUUUGACCUAUUCUUUCUAACUUUGUGAUACACUUUCAAAGAGUCGGAUUGUUUGGGAAUGCAGUCCAAAAUGGGUGGUAAAUUUCAUCUAAAGCUAAAUAUUGGCGAGAGACCGAUAGCGAACAAGUACCGUGAGGGAAAGAUGAAAAGAACUUUGAAAAGAGAGUUAAACAGUACGUGAAAUUGUCAAAAGGGAAGCGUUUGACACCAGUGUUGUUUUUCCGAAAAUCAAUUAAAAAUUGAUUCAUGCUAGGUUGUAUUGACCUCUGUCAGCUUGCAAUUUGGUUUUGGGUCUCUUUUUGAUGCACUUUUCGGUUAGCAAGUCAACAUCAAUUUCCUUUGCUGUAAAAAGGUAAGAGGAAGGUGGCUUCAAUUUCGGUUGAAGUGUUUAUAGCCUUUUAUCUCUGCAGUCGGGGAGAUUGAGGUCUGCAGCGUAGAUCCUUCGGGGCUAGAUACAUUUAUGCUAAGUUAUAGCUUUUCAUAGACAACUUGUUGACUAUGUUAGUCAUUGUAGAUUACUCGUCAGAUGCUAUUUUACCUACGCUUAGGAUGUUGAAGUCAUCGUAUCGCGC
rnacentral:rRNA from 1 species